rnacentral:rRNA from 1 species
ACGAACGCUGGCGGCGUGCCUAAUACAUGCCAGUAGAACGCUGAAGGAGGAGCUUGCUUCUCUGGAUGCGUUGCGAACGGGUGAGUAACGCGUAGGUAACCUGCCUGGUAGCGGGGGAUAACUAUUGGAAACGAUAGCUAAUACCGCAUAAUAGUAGAUGUUGCAUGACAUUUGCUUAAAAGGUGCAAUUGCAUCACUACCAGAUGGACCUGCGUUGUAUUAGCUAGUUGGUGGGGUAACGGCUCACCAAGGCGACGAUACAUAGCCGACCUGAGAGGGUGAUCGGCCACACUGGGACUGAGACACGGCCCAGACUCCUACGGGAGGCAGCAGUAGGGAAUCUUCGGCAAUGGACGGAAGUCUGACCGAGCAACGCCGCGUGAGUGAAGAAGGUUUUCGGAUCGUAAAGCUCUGUUGUAAGAGAAGAACGAGUGUGAGAGUGGAAAGUUCACACUGUGACGGUAUCUUACCAGAAAGGGACGGCUAACUACGUG